rnacentral:rRNA from 1 species
GUUGUAUAGUCAAGUAAUUAAGUGCAUGUGGUGGAUGCCUUGGCAGUCAGAGGCGAUGAAAGACGUGAUAGCCUGCGAAAAGCUCCGGGGAGGCGGCAAAUAUCCUUUGAUCCGGAGAUGUCUGAAUGGGGGAACCCACCUACUUUAAGGUAGGUAUUGCAACAUGAAUACAUAGUGUUGCAAGGCGAACGAGGGGAAGUGAAACAUCUCAGUACCCUUAGGAAAAGAAAUCAAUUGAGAUUCCCUCAGUAGCGGCGAGCGAACGGGGAUCAGCCCAUUAAGUUAUGUGUGUUUUAGUGGAACGCUCUGGGAAGUGCGAACGUAGAGGGUGAUAUUCCCGUACACGAAAGGGCACACAUAAUGAUGACGAGUAGGGCGAGGCACGUGAAACCUUGUCUGAAUAUGGGGGGACCAUCCUCCAAGGCUAAAUACUCCUGACUGACCGAUAGUGAACCAGUACCGUGAGGGAAAGGCGAAAAGAACCCCUGUGAGGGGAGUGAAAUAGAUCCUGAAACCGCAUGCAUACAAGCAGUGGGAGCACCUUCGUGGUGUGACUGCGUACCUUUUGUAUAAUGGGUCAGCGACUUAUAUUCAGUAGCGAGGUUAACCGUAUAGGGGAGCCGUAGAGAAAUCGAGUCUUAAUAGGGCGUUUAGUUGCUGGGUAUAGACCCGAAACCAGGCGAUCUAUCCAUGAGCAGGUUGAAGGUUGGGUAACACUAACUGGAGGACCGAACCCACUGUCGUUGAAAAGCCAGGGGAUGACUUGUGGAUAGGGGUGAAAGGCUAAUCAAGCCUGGUGAUAGCUGGUUCUCCCCGAAAGCUAUUUAGGUAGCGCCUCGGACGAAUACCAUAGGGGGUAGAGCACUGUUUCGGCUAGGGGGUCAUCCCGACUUACCAAACCGAUGCAAACUCCGAAUACCUAUGAGUACUAUCCGGGAGACAGACUGCGGGUGCUAACGUCCGUAGUCAAGAGGAAAACAAUCCAGACCGCCAGCUAAGGCCCCAAAAUCAUAGUUAAGUGGGAAACGAUGUGGGAAGGCAUAGACAGCUAGGAGGUUGGCUUAGAAGCAGCCACCCUUUAAAGAAAGCGUAAUAGCUCACUAGUCGAGUCGGCCUGCGCGGAAGAUGUAACGGGGCUAAAACUAUGUGCCGAAGCUGCGGAUGUAUACUUUGUAUACGUGGUAGGGGAGCGUUCUGUAAGCCGAUGAAGGUGUGUUGAGAAGCAUGCUGGAGGUAUCAGAAGUGCGAAUGCUGACGUGAGUAACGACAAAACGGGUGAAAAACCCGUUCGCCGAAAGACCAAGGGUUCCAGUCCAACGUUAAUCGGGGCUGGGUGAGUCGACCCUAAGGCGAGGCCGAAAGGCGUAGUCGAUGGGAAAAUGGUUAAUAUUCCAUUACUUCUGUGUAAUGCGAUGAGAGGACGGAGAAGGCUAAAUCAGCCUGGCGUUGGUUGUCCAGGUGAAAGGAUGUAGGCAUGUAUCUUAGGCAAAUCCGGGGUACUCUAUGCUGAGAUCUGAUAGCAAGCUGUACUUGUACAGCGAAGUGGUUGAUGCCAUGCUUCCAGGAAAAGUCUCUAAGCUUCAGUUACACAGGAAUCGUACCCGAAACCGACACAGGUGGUCAGGUCGAGUAGACCAAGGCGCUUGAGAGAACUCUGCUGAAGGAACUAGGCAAAAUGGUACCGUAACUUCGGGAGAAGGUACGCUGUUGUUGGUGAUGGAACUCGCUUCCUGAGCUGACGACAGCCGCAGAAACCAGGCCGCUGCAACUGUUUAUUAAAACAUAGCACUCUGCAAACACGAAAGUGGACGUAUAGGGUGUGAUGCCUGCCCGGUGCUGGAAGGUUAAUUGAUGGGGUUAGCGUAAGCGAAGCUCUUGAUCGAAGCCCCAGUAAACGGCGGCCGUAACUAUAACGGUCCUAAGGUAGCGAAAUUCCUUGUCGGGUAAGUUCCGACCUGCACGAAUGGCAUAAUGAUGGCGGCGCUGUCUCCAGCAGAGGCUCAGUGAAAUCGAAAUCGCUGUGAAGAUGCAGUGUACCCGCGGCUAGACGGAAAGACCCCGUGAACCUUUACUGCAGCUUGACACUGAACUUUGACCUUACUUGUGUAGGAUAGGUGGGAGGCUUUGAAGCUGGAACGCUAGUUCCAGUGGAGCCGUCCUUGAAAUACCACCCUGGUAAUGUUGAGGUUCUAACUCUGUCCCGUGAUCCGGGACGAGGACCGUGUCUGGUGGGUAGUUUGACUGGGGCGGUCUCCUCCUAAAGAGUAACGGAGGAGUACGAAGGUGCGCUCAGCGUGGUCGGAAAUCACGCGUAGAGUAUAAAGGCAAAAGCGCGCUUAACUGCGAGACCCACAAGUCGAGCAGGUACGAAAGUAGGUCUUAGUGAUCCGGUGGUUCUGUAUGGAAGGGCCAUCGCUCAACGGAUAAAAGGUACUCUGGGGAUAACAGGCUGAUACCGCCCAAGAGUUCAUAUCGACGGCGGUGUUUGGCACCUCGAUGUCGGCUCAUCUCAUCCUGGGGCUGAAGCAGGUCCCAAGGGUAUGGCUGUUCGCCAUUUAAAGAGGUACGCGAGCUGGGUUUAGAACGUCGUGAGACAGUUCGGUCCCUAUCUACCGUGGGCGCUGGAAAUUUGAGAGGAUCUGCUCCUAGUACGAGAGGACCAGAGUGGACGAACCUCUGGUGUACCGGUUGUGACGCCAGUCGCAUCGCCGGGUAGCUAUGUUCGGAAGGGAUAACCGCUGAAAGCAUCUAAGCGGGAAGCCUACCUCAAGAUAAGAUUUCCCUAGGACUUUAUGUCCUCUAAAGAGCCGUUCGAGACUAGGACGUUGAUAGGUUGGAUGUGGAAGCAUAGUGAUAUGUGAAGCUGACCAAUACUAAUUGCUCGUGAGGCUUGACUAUACAACACCCAAGCAGUUG